GAUGAACGCUGGCGGCGUGCCUAAUACAUGCAAGUAGAACGCUGAAGGAGGAGCUUGCUCUUCUGGAUGAGUUGCGAACGGGUGAGUAACGCGUAGGUAACCUGCCUGGUAGCGGGGGAUAACUAUUGGAAACGAUAGCUAAUACCGCAUGACAACAGUUAUUGCAUGAUAACUGUUUAAAAGGGGCAACUGCUCCACUACCAGAUGGACCUGCGUUGUAUUAGCUAGUUGGUGAGGUAACGGCUCACCAAGGCGACGAUACAUAGUCGACCGGAGAGGGUGAGCGGCCACACUGGGAGUGAGACACGGCCCAGAGUGCUACAGGAGGCAGCAGUAGGGAAUCGUCGGCAAUGGACGGAAGUCUGACCGAGAAAGGCCGCGUGAGUGAAGAAGGUUUUCGGAUCGGAAAGCUCUGUUUUAAGAGAAGAACGAGUGUGAGAGUGGAAAGUUCACACUGUGACGGUAACUUACAAGAAAGGGACGGCUAACUACGUG
rnacentral:rRNA from 1 species